CUGGGACUCACUAUAAGGUAGUACAAGAGUCAGGAAGAGAAUUCAAGUUUUGUGAAACACUGGCCUGAGGAUAAAAAGAAAACAGGGAAAACAAUGUGCUUAUUGGCACAGAACUUUUGAGGAAAUCAAUAUUCCAAACAUAAGAUGUGAUAACAAGGAGUCACAAAUGAUCCUUAAGGACACAAAUGCAGACAUUUGCAAGAGCUAAAAGGAAAAAAAUGAGAGUUUGACCUGUAACUUCAUGAGAAACUAGGUCUGUACUUUGGUGUACAUCUCUAGCUGAAUCUCACAUGCUGCCACAAUAUUUACCAAAUACAAUAUAAUGAAUGAAGAUAAAUAUUGAUGCACUAGAUGGCAGUAAUGGGAAGAAGACUGUCAUACACUCCAUCCUCCAAGAUUACUUGAGAUCCAGCUUUGGACAGUGGAUAACUGGAACAAUAUUCUUGGUUUUUGUGUGCAGAAAUGAAUUUAUAGUCAUAAAAAUGUAGAAUUGAAAAGGAAAAAAAAGGCUGAAUUGGAUUGGUCACUUGGAGCAAAGUAAGUACCUGCUCAUAGGACAUUUCAACAUACAAGCACAUUGUUUGAUCAAAACUAAUCACAAAUAUAUGAGAAUAGAAUAAGAAUCAAAAGAGUUUUAAUGCUACUAUAAAAAUAAUAGUUCACAAUGUACUAAAGUCUUCAUUGUGAAACACAGAACAGAAAGUGAAAGAUAAGUUAUCUUUAAUAAUAUCAUUAAUAAUGGCCAGUUACUUAACUGUUCUUUCUUAAACUUCUUUUCUGGUUUCCCUUAAUCAGUGCAAUACAGUUCUUAGGGAUUGUCCAGUUUGAGUUUGCUUUGGGAGAAAGCAAACAUUUUCUGUUUCCUUACUAGGAAAAUAGAACAAAGCCUAGUUGACAGGAAUUGGUGAGGCUUAUUCAAUCUGAUACUCCGUAGAUGGUUUGUAACUCUAAUUUCUUCUCCUUUUCCUUUUUUAGUUAUGUGAAUAAAUUUUAACUCUUAUCAUGUUAUUUUAACA
rnacentral:lncRNA from 12 species